AGGGGCCCUUAUCUCAAUCAGUCUGUUUAGUGGAACUCUAAAACUGGAAGAUUCAUUAAUUAGUGUUACAACCUGUUCUUCUGGGGCUGCCAUGGACCACUCCUGCCGGAUUUCAAACACCAGCAGCCUGGAGCAACUUCUGAAAAGAGACUGAAUCAGAAAGCAACUGUCCAUAUGAUGAAAGUGCAACAACUUUGGUGACUUCACCAGCACCAACAACUGUAUCAGUUAAACAACAGUUUACCAACACAGAAGAAAUAUCACAUGAUACCACUGAUUAUUUACAUGAAAAUUUCACAGAAAGAAAUUGCGAAAUUUUGAUUUGUAAGGGACCUGUGUAUCUUCAAAAUUCCGAAGAGCUGAGACGAAGUUGCAAAGAAUCUGCUGAAAUUUAUUAUGAAGACGUUAAUGGGCAAGGGUUAGAAGCAGAAUGUCUACAUUUAACAGAAUACUUGAAAAUUGUUCAUGGUAAAAAUGGGGGAAUUGACAGUAUAUUGGAAAUAUAUCACCUUUUGAAAGAAAACAAAAGUGAAAACACAUUUCCAAAUGUAGAAAUCACAUUGAGAAUCUUUUUAAGCAUGAUGGUAACCAACUGCAAUGCAGAACACUCCUCCUCCAAAUUAAAAAUAAUAAAAAAUGAGUUAAAAAGUACAAUGCUUCAAGAGAGAAUAACCAGUUUAUCGCUGAUAUCCAUAGAAGGUGAUAUGCUCAAAAAUAUAAAUUUUGAAGAAGUGAUGAACGAUUUUGCCCAUUUCAAAUCUA